UAAUUCAUCGGACGUUAUAAUUGUAAUAAACAACAACAACUACCCUGAUUGAAACUAACAACAUGUUUUGUUUUGUUGUAGAAAUAGCAGUAGGAGGCCUAGUUGGUACUAUUAUGAUCAUUAUAAUUUCUAUAAAACUCUGUAGGAAAAACCCUGAAAGGACUCCUAGGGUGGCAGGUCACGUCAACAUCAUUUAUAUUCUCUUACCAGUCAUCUCUUCUAGGAAUCCAGGGCAACGCCAUUUACUAGAACCGGAAAACACAAAAGGACAGGAUUGCUUAAAAGAAGUCUGCACAUCGAAUGGUAUUCAGGACACUCAACCACCGAUGAUUUCGUCAGAGCGUACAACGUUAUAGACUGCUGAUGUUACGACCAAAAGUGCAGUAGACCAAAACUUCUUUCAGGGCAUAUAAUUUGGCAUUUUAUUUAUUGUUUUUGUUAUCUUCUGUAGAGUAUCUGGAGUUUUUAUUUAUGACCAAAAGACCAGUGAAACAAAAAUA